rnacentral:rRNA from 1 species
CCUACGGGAGGCAGCAGUGGGGGAUAUUGCACAAUGGGGGAAACCCUGAUGCAGCGACGCCGCGUGAGUGAAGAAGUAUUUCGGUAUGUAAAGCUCUAUCAGCAGGGAAGAAAAUGACAGUACCUGACCAAGAAGCCCCGGCUAACUACGUGCCAGCAGCCGGGGUAAUACGUAGGGGGCAAGGGUUAUCCGGAUUUACUGGGUGUAAAGGGGGCGUAGACGGUUUUGUAAGUCUGGAGUGAAAGCCCGGGGCCCAACCCCGGGACUGCUUUGGAAACUGUGUGACUGGAGUACAGGAGGGGCAGGCGGAAUUCGUGGUGUAGCGGUGAAAUGCGUAGAUAUCAGGAGGAACACCGGCGGCGAAGGCGGCAUGCUGGACUGAAACUGACGUUGAGGCUCGAAAGCGUGGGGAGCGAACAGGAUUAGAUACCCGAGUAGUC